rnacentral:rRNA from 1 species
UACGUAGGGUCCGAGCGUUGUCCGGAAUUACUGGGCGUAAAGAGCUCGUAGGUGGUUUGUCGCGUUGUUCGUGAAAACUCACAGCUCAACUGUGGGCGUGCGGGCGAUACGGGCAGACUAGAGUACUGCAGGGGAGACUGGAAUUCCUGGUGUAGCGGUGGAAUGCGCAGAUAUCAGGAGGAACACCGGUGGCGAAGGCGGGUCUCUGGGCAGUAACUGACGCUGAGGAGCGAAGGCCAGGGGAGCAAACGGG